rnacentral:tRNA from 1 species
CAAGGAUUAGUUUAUAAAAAUAUUAGUUUUGGAGAUUAAAGAUGAAGUUUUCUUUAUCCUUGA